rnacentral:rRNA from 1 species
UACGUAGGGUGCAAGCGUUGUCCGGAAUUAUUGGGCGUAAAGAGCUCGUAGGCGGUUUGUUGCGUCGGCUGUGAAAUCCCGAGGCUCAACCUCGGGUCUGCAGUCGAUACGAGCAAACUAGAGUGUUGCAGGGGAGACUGGAAUUCCUGGUGUAGCGGUGAAAUGCGCAGAUAUCAGGAGGAACACCGGUGGCGAAGGCGGGUCUCUGGGCCGAU